GCUGGCGGCAGGCCUAACACAUGCAAGUCGAACGGAGUUAUAUUGUAGCUUGCUAUGGUAUAACUUAGUGGCAGACGGGUGAGUAAUGUAUAGGAAUCUACCUAGUAGUACGGAAUAAUUGUUGGAAACGGCAACUAAUACCGUAUACGCCCUACGGGGGAAAAAUUUAUUGCUAUUAGAUGAGCCUAUAUUAGAUUAGCUAGUUGGUGGAGUAAUAGCCUACCAAGGCAAUGAUCUAUAGCUGAUCUGAGAGGAUGAUCAGCCACACUGGAACUGAGAUACGGUCCAGACUUCUACGGGAGGCAGCAGUGGGGAAUAUUGGACAAUGGGCGAAAGCCUGAUCCAGCCAUGCCGCAUGAGUGAAGAAGGCCUUUGGGUUGUAAAGCUCUUUUAGUGAGGAAGAUAAUGACGGUACUCACAGAAGAAGUCCUGGCUAACUCCGUGCCAGCAGCCGCGGUAAUACGGAGAGGGCUAGCGUUAUUCGGAAUUAUUGGGCGUAAAGGGCGCGUAGGCGGAUUAGUAAGUUAAAAGUGAAAUCCCAAGGCUCAACCUUGGAAUUGCUUUUAAAACUGCUAAUCUAGAGAUUGAAAGAGGAUAGAGGAAUUCCUAGUGUAGAGGUGAAAUUCGUAAAUAUUAGGAGGAACACCAGUGGCGAAGGCGUCUAUCUGGUUCAAAUCUGACGCUGANGCGCGAAGGCGUGGGGAGCAAACAGGAUUAGAUACCCUGGUAGUCCACGCUGUAAACGAUGAAUGUUAAAUAUGGGAAGUUUUACUUUCUGUAUUAC
rnacentral:rRNA from 1 species